rnacentral:sRNA from 1 species
UCCAUACUUCCACUGGUAUACCGUCUGGUC